UUUAAGAGUAGUUGUUGGUUUUCAUGUCUAACGUUAAAUCGUAUGUCUUAAUAUUUUAUGGCUAGUAUAUUUAUUGUUAUUAGAUGAUAAAAUAUAAAUAAUAGUUUAUGCGUGACUUAUUUUAUUAGUUUUUUAUGAUUUUUUUAAAUAAGAUGAACGAUCAAAUAUUGGAUACAGAAAUCCACGACAACGUUUAAA
rfam:Oryza rufipogon genomic scaffold, chr10